rnacentral:lncRNA from 1 species
AUAAUAUGCUACUAGUUAACUUGAUCCCUGGGUCAGGAAGAUCCCCUGGAGAAGGGAAUGGCUACUCACUCCAGUAUUCUUGCCUGGAGAAUUUCAUGGACAGAGGCGUCUGGCGGGCUACAGUCCAUGGGGUUGCACAGAUUCGGACGUGACUGAGCCACUAACACUAGCUAAGUCCAGGCCAGUGCCUUUUCUACCACAUCCUAAGAUUCAGCUCUCAACAACCACGAGAGGGGAAAACUGCAAACUAAUGAAAGAAAAACGUGGUGUCGAACAAUGUGACUGUGUUUAUGUGGCCUACCAACAUCUGACAUGCUAGUGACUGACACAAAGUGAUUUAUUUUAAAGCCGCCCCCAUUUUUAAAAUGUUCAGAUCGUCACAAUGCCCGAGUUAUUUUAAUGGGCCACUUUGACAAGCCACGGGAACUUUUUUUGAAUCGAGACAGCUGGAUUAAGACUAUUGUGAAACAGGGGGAUGGGGCUUUCACAGGGGGUACCCAAGAGACAGGGGUUGUUGACCUGUCAUUUGCUGAGUGAUGGGCCAUUACCCUCCCCCUCCCCCCGCCCAGCGAUAUGUUACAUGACCCUGAUCCAUUCUCUCCCGGGGUACCCUCUCCCAGACCUGCUGGCACAGCUGAGAAACAAACACGGGGCAUCCCCGGAGUACAUUGUGAGGAAUGGGAAGAGAGGAACAGUAUUUAUCUUCAACGCACCCUGGAGAUCUUGACAUUAAUGUGUGUCCGUAUCUCUUCUCAGUUCCGUGUGUGGAUGCUUAAUUCGAUCUCUGGCUAUUGAGAAGGAGGAGGCCAGGGUGAGGGGGCGUGUGGGAUCUGACCCAGACAAAUGGUGGGAAAGCAAGUAUCUCAACAGACCAGCACAGGAAAUUCUCCCUUCUUUCGAAGACAGAUCUGUCCUCCUCAUUUAAUCCCCAGCACAGCUGCACCGCUCACAGCAUAGAGACACAUUAAAUGAAAAUGGAUUCUGAUCUGGGGAUCGUUGUGGCACGUCUAAUUUCAGAUUUCUCCUUUUCCACAGUUUCACCCCACCGGGGGUUUGAGUCAAAACACAGAAAGGGGAUAUCACCUGAGGCGGAAAUCGAAUGGCUAUUAUUGGAGAUGCUAAAGCUAUGGUUGCCUACACACCCCCACCUCCAGGGGUGGCUGCCGUUCACCCAGUGCCUCCUGCAUGUCAGGGGUGCUCAUACCACCCGUCUCGUGAGGAUGACGUGCGUCAGAUGCAACAAGCUUAACAUGGAUGGCCUAGAGAGUGUCAUGCUGAGUGGAGGAACUCAGACAGAGGAGGAGAAAUACUGUAUGACACCCCUUAUCUGCGGAAUCUAAAAAGAAACGAUACAGAUGAAAUUACUUACAUGAGAGAAAGAGACCCACAGACUUAGAGAACGAACUUAUGG